UACGGAGGAUGCAAGCGUUAUCCGGAAUGAUUGGGCGUAAAGGGCUCGUAGGCGGUUUGUCGCGUCGGGAGUGAAAACACCGGGCUUAACUCGGUGCUUGCUUUCGAUACGGGCAGACUUGAGGACUGGAGAGGAGACUGGAAUUUACGGUGUAGCGGUGAAAUGCGUAGAUAUCGUAAGGAAGACCAGUGGCGAAGGCGGGUUGCUGGGCCGACACUGACGCUGAUGCGCGAAAGCCAGGGGAGCGAACGGG
rnacentral:rRNA from 1 species